AUUGAACGCUGGCGGCAUGCCUUACACAUGCAAGUCGAACGGCAGCACGGGUGCUUGCCCCUGGUGGCGAGUGGCGAACGGGUGAGUAAUACAUCGGAACAUGUCCUGUAGUGGGGGAUAGCCCGGCGAAAGCCGGAUUAAUACCGCAUACGAUCUACGGAUGAAAGCGGGGGACCUUCGGGCCUCGCGCUAUAGGGUUGGCCGAUGGCUGAUUAGCUAGUUGGUGGGGUAAAGGCCUACCAAGGCCACGAUCAGUAGCUGGUCUGAGAGGACGACCAGCCACACUGGGACUGAGACACGGCCCAGACUCCUACGGGAGGCAGCAGUGGGGAAUUUUGGACAAUGGGCGAAAGCCUGAUCCAGCAAUGCCGCGUGUGUGAAGAAGGCCUUCGGGUUGUAAAGCACUUUUGUCCGGAAAGAAAUCCUUGGCCCUAAUACGGUCGGGGGAUGACGGUACCGGAAGAAUAAGCACCGGCUAACUACGUG
rnacentral:rRNA from 1 species